rnacentral:pre_miRNA from 1 species
GCAAAAGCAGACAUGGCGUGAUGUUGAUCUGGCUCAUAUUUAAGUAUAAGUGUAUCUUAUCAACUUCAGAUGAGCCGAAUCAAUAUCACUCUUGUCUUCUUUUUUGC